AAGUAGAAUAGAUUAAUGUAACUCUUAAAGAAACAACUGAAUCACACUAUCUAUAUUAAACUGACCAAGUCAUGUGAAAAGGCGCACUCAUGAAGUAUAUAAACUUUAUUUUGAUAUCUCUGAAAGUUAAAUGGGGUGUAUACUUGAAAAUGAAUAUAAAAAUGUACAUUAUAAUUUCUUUAACAUUUUUCUAUCAUAUUGGAGCCGCCAAAGGAGGUUGCAACCCAGACCACGAAAACAAUUGCUGUCAAGGAUUUUUCUUUGAGGAAAUUUCACAUGAAUGCAAAGAAUGUUCUCCGGGGUAUAUCGGCGUAAACUGUUCCAUGGCAUGUCGGUAUCCUGGAUAUGGCAAAUAUUGUCAGGAACAAUGUAACUGUUCACAGGAGUUGUGUGACAUAUCAAUAGGAUGUCUCGG